rnacentral:rRNA from 1 species
UACGAAGGGGGCGAGCGUUGUUCGGAAUCACUGGGCGUAAAGGGCGCGUAGGCGGCCCUCCUAGUCGCGUGUGAAAGCCCCGGGCUCAACCUGGGAACGGCGCGCGAAACGGGGGGGCUGGAGUUCGGGAGAGGAGCGUGGAAUUCCCAGUGUAGAGGUGAAAUUCGUAGAUAUUGGGAAGAACACCGGUGGCGAAGGCGGCGCUCUGGACCGAGACUGACGCUGAGGCGCGAAAGCUAGGGGAGCAAACGGG